UACAGAGGUCCCAAGCGUUGUUCGGAUUCACUGGGCGUAAAGGGUGCGCAGGUGGGUUUGCAAGUUCGAUGUGAAAGCCCCGGGCUUAACCCGGGAAUGGCAUUGGAUACUGCAGAUCUGGAGGAUCGGAGGGGGACUGGAAUUCUUGGUGUAGCAGUGAAAUGCGUAGAUAUCAAGAGGAACACCAGUGGCGAAGGCGAGUCCCUGGACGAUACCUGACACUGAGGCACGAAAGCCAGGGGAGCAAACGGG
rnacentral:rRNA from 1 species